rnacentral:misc_RNA from 2 species
CUAAGGAAACAAUUAUCAUCUUCAGUUU